AGGUGUGUAAUUUACAUGUGUGUUUAGAGUUAUGGAGUGGUUUUUCAGAAAUGUCGAAUGUGACACAUGUGUUUAUAUAUUCUACGAUUGUGGAUUUACAUAUAAGACUUAGGAAAAAAUCAUGUUUGGUUUUACAUACAUGUACAUUGUCACGGAUAUACGAAUAUAUAUAGAUCUAACAGUAAUGUAUUAGGGGACCACGUGUUUGUAAACAAUUGGUGAUUGUACAGCAAUAGAUACUGAGAGUUGCAGAUAAAAUGUGGUACGGAAGAUAUAAUGCGACAUCUUUUGAAUUACAUAGAGUUGAUAAAGUGUCCAGAAUGGCAGUUACUCGUUCAUAUUAAUAAAUCAAGGGAAAAUAUAUGACGGAUAGAAACUACACGCACAAAUCCUUAUUUACAUAUAUUCCAGUGCAGCGCCCAUGACGAAGAAACGAAGAAAAAAGAUUUGAUGCGGAAAAUAUCAAAAUAACUUUACACUGCAUAUGAAUUUACGCUAACGUUAACUUCGGCGCAUUUGUUAUUCCAAAAUUGGCAUAAUGAUCCUUCAAAGCACAAUGGCAAGCAUAUCAAACUGAAAUAAAUGUGUCUACAGGUACUAUCAAAGACGUGGGACAACAAAGAGAAGAACAUAUCAACCUUAGUAUAUGACGUCAAUUAACCGUGUAAAACGGUAAAAAGUCUAUACUUCUGGAUCAAAAUCCCCGGGCCUCUUUUCAGGCUUGAAAACCAUAUCAUAUGUCCAGCCAAAUUAAAUAAAAUAAAAUCUGUAUGAAGAUCCUCCUCUAGUAGCGUAGAAUGCAACAAAGCCAAAUAAAAGCUGACUCGGUUUGUUUGAAUCUGUUCAUGAAAUGUAUAGAGAAGUGGCUACUGUGCAACAUUCCUUACACCACUAGCACCGACUUUAGUGGAAUUCUAUUACAGAGAUAUUGAAUGGACUCCAUGAUCUCAAAGGAGCAGAAAAUAUAAAAUACAAUUCAAACGCAGGGAGACAUUUUACGCCCGUCACAUGGCACGUCAAGAUUGCUGUUAAGAUAAAUGAUAAAUUCUGUAAAAAGAACCUCUGGAAACAUUGAAUGCAACCAAGCAAAAUAGUAGCAGACUCCGUUAAUGAGAGGUAAUCACGGGGAAGUGCAGCACUCCUCUCACCCUACUCCAAGCACCGGCUUAAGCGGAAUACUAACACAGAGAUAUUGAAAGGACUAGAAAAUACAGCAACCCUCAAUCCAAGUAUAUUGUUGUGUAAAGUCAUAUAUUGUUUCUUACGUUUCAAACAUUAUAACAAAUUAUACAGAUUAGAUACUUUAAACUCAAUUCUGUAUGCAUGGAAAAUGUAAAAUAGAAAAAACUAAACCAUUCUAAUGUGCUUUCUCCUAUUCAAAAUGAUUUACAAAUUAAAGUUACAGAGUGUCAAUCAAACUGUUAUAAGUAUGAAAUUCAGACAUGCGAUUUAUAAAAUAGCAUAGAAAGUUCGAUGUUAAUACUGUAGAAUCUUGUCUCGAAAGUAGGCGCAUAUCCGAUUA